rnacentral:rRNA from 1 species
UACGGAGGGUGCAAGCGUUAUCCGGAUUCACUGGGUUUAAAGGGCGCGUAGGCGGCCUUCUAAGUCGAACGUGAAAUCCCUGGGCUCAACCCAGGAACUGCGUCCGAUACUGGAAGGCUUGAAUCCGGGAGAGGGAUGCGGAAUUCCAGGUGUAGCGGUGAAAUGCGUAGAUAUCUGGAGGAACACCGGUGGCGAAGGCGGCGUUCUGGACUGUCUCUGACACUGAAGAACGAAAGCCAGGGGAGCAAACGGG